CUUUUUUGGGGGGGUCAUCAAGUUUUUGACACCUUGCUAGGCGACUGGUGGUACUCGGAUGUUGCCAUAUCCUAAAAGUGGUACAAUGGGUGAAAAGGUUGAAAAGCCCUGCUGUAGGCCACCCAAGUGGAGAGGAGCCAGUGCCCUCUGAUAGGAGGAGAAGGUAGGUGGGUCAUCUCCUUGGGAAUUCUGACGGCUUUGUGACUUCAUCCCUGCAGGCUAAAGCAUCAGUUACUGACAGUUAUCAGUUAUCAGAGCGAAGAUGCCAUCCUGGAGAUAGGCUGCCCUUCCCUGCGACUCUGGGCAAGCUCCCCUCCUUUCCUGGCCCACUCUCAGAGGGGUCUUUGUAUUUUGUGAUCUUCUCCAGUUCUUCUCCUUCUUAUCACCUAUUGUCAGAAGGCUGCAGCCGGGGAGAAAAGCCUGAAAAAAUUACUUUGCUAGCUGCCUUUCUGAGAAUUUCAGCUCUCUUCAAAGUCAAACCCAUAAAAAACCCAACUCUGAAAA